rnacentral:rRNA from 1 species
AGGGCACCACCAGGAGUGGAGCCUGCGGCUUAAUUUGACUCAACACGGGAAAACUUACCCGGCCCGGACACUGGCAGGAUUGACAGAUUGAUAGCUCUUUCUUGAUUCAGUGGGUGGUGGUGCAUGGCCGUUCUUAGUUGGUGGAGCGAUUUGUCUGGUUAAUUCCGAUAACGAACGAGACUCUAGCCUACUAAAUAGGCCACCGGCUUACUGACGUCGGUGGGACUUCUUAGAGGGACAGGCGGCGAUUCAGCCGCACGAAACAGAGCAAUAACAGGUCUGUGAUGCCCUUAGAUGUCCGGGGCCGCACGCGCGCUACACUGAAGUGAUCAGCGUGCAUUACAAACCUGCUCCGUCAGGAGUGGGGAACCCAAUGAACCUUCUUCGUGAUUGGGAUAGGGGAUUGUAAUUAUUCCCCUUGAACGAGGAAUUCCCAGUAAGCGCGAGUCAUAAGCUCGCGUUGAUUACGUCCCUGCCCUUUGUACACACCGCCCGUCGCUACUACCGAUUGAAUGAUUU